CACGCCGUAAACGAUGGAUGCUAGCUGUUAGGAGUAUCGACCCUUCUAGUAGCGAAGCUAACGCGUUAAGCAUCCCGCCUGGGGAGUACGAACGCAAGUUUAAAACUCAAAGGAAUUGAC
rnacentral:rRNA from 1 species